rnacentral:rRNA from 1 species
GACGAACGCUGGCGGCGUGCUUAACACAUGCAAGUCGAACGGAAAGGCCCUGCUUUUGUGGGGUGCUCGAGUGGCGAACGGGUGAGUAACACGUUGGUAACCUGCCCUUUACUUUGGUAUAACUUCAGGAAACUGGGGCUAAUACCGGAUAGGAGCUCCUGCUGCAUGGUGGGGGUUGGAAAGUUUCGGCGGUUGGGGAUGGACUCGCGGCUUAUCAGCUUGUUGGUGGGGUAGUGGCUUACCAAGGCUUUGACGGGUAGCCGGCCUGAGAGGGUGACCGGCCACAUUGGGACUGAGAUACGGCCCAGACUCCUACGGGAGGCAGCAGUGGGGAAUAUUGCACAAUGGGCGGAAGCCUGAUGCAGCAACGCCGCGUGCGGGAUGACGGCCUUCGGGUUGUAAACCGCUUUCGCCUGUGACGAAGCGUGAGUGACGGUAAUGGGUAAAGAAGCACCGGCUAACUACGUG